UUCUAACAAACCAAGCAUUCCCGUAAAUAAUUUUAUCUUUCUUUAACUUUAUUUCACAUUAUAUUGACAAUUU
rnacentral:tRNA from 1 species